UAAUAAUAUUAUAGAACACGGUUUUAAUGGUUAUUCGUAUUUCUAAAAUCAUUAUUAAUAUUUCAAUAAUUUCAAAGUUAUUAUGCUGUAUUUAAAUACAAUAUAUUUCUAUUAAUAUAUAUUGUUAUAUUAAUUAUUAUUUAACUACAUUGUUUGGUUUAUUUAUAAUUUUUACAAAUUACAAAUAUCUAGGUGUAAAAACUAUAGAAAAUAUGUUACAAAAAGAUGUAAAAUUGGAUAAUACAAGCAAGACAUGGGUAUUAGAAAAACAUAUUGAUUUCUUACAGUCAUUUGGCAAAGAAAGACACCAAUAUGAAAGUAGUAUGAUGGAAUUUCUUCGUAUGUCUGGUAUGUACUGGGGCUUAACUGCAUUAUAUUUAAUCAAUGAUGGCAAAAUACCGAAAGAAGAUGAAAUAUUUGAAUAUAUUAAAAGUUGUGAACACAGUUGUGGUGGGUAUUCGCCAGCUCCGGGUCAUGAUCCACAUUUAUUGUAUACACUCAGUGCGGUCCAAAUUGCUUGUCUACUUAAUCGAGAAUUGGAAUUACCAAUUGAAAAGAUUGUGUUGUAUGUAUCUAAACUACAACAAGAUGAUGGUAGUUUUACUGGAGAUAAAUGGGGAGAAAUAGAUACCCGUUAUUCAUUUUGUGCAUUAGCAUGUUUAUCACUUUUGGGUAAACUAAAUGAGAUUAAUUUGGUUAAAGCAGUAGAGUUUAUAAAAAGCUGUCAAAAUUUUGAUGGAGGUUUUGGAUCACGGCCUGGAGCUGAAAGCCAUGGUGGCUUAAUCUAUUGUUGUGUUGGAUCAUUAUCUAUUGCUGGACGAUUAGAUUUAGUUGAUGCUGACACUUUGGGCUGGUGGUUAGCUGAAAGGCAAUUACCAUCUGGUGGACUUAAUGGACGCCCUGAAAAAUUACCAGAUGUUUGUUAUUCAUGGUGGGUGUUUUCAACAUUAAACAUCUUAGGACGUGACCAUUGGAUUGAUAAAGAAGGAUUAAAAACUUUUAUUUUAGCAUCUCAAGAUAAUGAAGGGGGUGGAUUCAGUGAUCGUCCUGGGGAUGAACCAGAUCCUUUUCAUACACUUUUUGGUCUUGCCGCAUUAUCACUAAUGUCACAUGAUAAAAUUUUACCAAUAGAUCCUACUUAUUGCAUGCCAAAAGCAGUUAUUAACCGAUUAGGAUUAAAACCUCAAACUUUGUCCCGACCUUAAAAAGAAUCCUAUAGAAUACUUUUGGUUCGAUCAGAAUACAAUUAAAGACAUUUCAUAACAAAAUUAAAUUAGAUGGAGGAAUCAGUAUCAGUAGGAGCUCCUUUUUAGGUGCAAAAAAUAUGGAAUGUUGAAUGUAUGGAAAUAUUUUAGAAUCUUGUUUAUUUAAUCUUAAAAGAUGAUGAACCUAGCAACACUCAUGACUAAAAGUAUGUUACAGUUUUAUCAUAACAAUUAAACAAAACUAUUUUGUUAAUUAUUUUCUAAAGACAGCUUAAACAAAAUAAAAUAUAAUUAUAAAGGUA